UACGUAGGGUGCAAGCGUUAAUCGGAAUUACUGGGCGUAAAGCGUGCGCAGGCGGUUCGGGAAGAAAGAUGUGAAGUCCCAGAGCUUAACUUUGGAACUGCAUUUUUAACUGCCGAGCUAGAGUAUGUCAGAGGGGGGUAGAAUUCCACGUGUAGCAGUGAAAUGCGUAGAGAUGUGGAGGAAUACCGAUGGCGAAGGCAGCCCCCUGGGAUAAUACUGACGCUCACGCACGAAAGCGUGGGGAGCAAACAGG
rnacentral:rRNA from 1 species